GGUUAAAAAGCUCGUAGUUGGAUCUCGGCGGGCAGGGGGUGGUUCGCUCUUCAGCGCUACUGCCCCGCUCUGCCCGUGUGAUUGGCGGAGGUUUCGGGGUGCUCUUCGUUGAGUGACUCGGAGCGCCGUCAGGUUUACUUUGAAAAAAUUAGAGUGCUCAAAGCAGGCUUUUCACGCUUGAAUAUUCGUGCAUGGAAUAAUGGAAUAGGAACUCGUUUCUAUUUUGUUGGUUUUCGGAAAUCGAGUUAAUGAUUAACAGGGACAAUUGGGGGCAUUAGUAUUCAGACGACAGAGGUGAAAUUCUUGGACCGUCUGAAGACUGACUACUGCGAAAGCAUUUGCCAAGAGUGUUUUCAUUAAUCAAGAACGAAAGUUAGAGGUUCGAAGGCGAUCAGAUACCGCCCUAGUUCUAACCAUAAACGAUGCCAGCUAGCGAUCUGCCGAGUUUUUUUUGUAGGCUCCGCAGGAAGCUUUCGGGAAACCAAAGCUUUUGGGUUCCGGGGGAAGUAUGGUUGCAAAGCUGAAACUUAAAGGAAUUGACGGAAGGGCACCACCAGGAGUGGAGCCUGCGGCUUAAUUUGACUCAGCACGGGAAAUCUCACCAGGCCCGGACACUGGAAGGAUUGACAGAUUGAGAGCUCUUUCUCGAU
rnacentral:rRNA from 1 species